CCUACGGGUGGCAGCAGUGGGGAAUAUUGGACAAUGGGCGAAAGCCUGAUCCAGCCAUGCCGCGUGUGUGAAGAAGGCCUUCGGGUUGUAAAGCACUUUCAGUGGGGAAGAAAGCCUUGGGGCUAAUACCCUCGAGGAAGGACAUCACCCACAGAAGAAGCACCGGCUAACUCCGUGCCAGCAGCCGCGGUAAUACGGAGGGUGCGAGCGUUAAUCGGAAGUACUGGGCGUAAAGCGCGCGUAGGCGGUCUGAUAAGCCGGUUGUGAAAGCCCCGGGCUCAACCUGGGAACGGCAUCCGGAACUGUCAGGCUAGAGUGCAGGAGAGGAAGGUGAAUUCACGGUGUAGCGGUGAAAUGCGUAGAGAGCGGGAGGAAUACCAGUGGCGAAGGCGGCCGUCUGGACUGACACUGACGCUGAGGUGCGAAAGCGUGGGUAGCAAACAGGAUUAGAUACCCGGGUAGUC
rnacentral:rRNA from 1 species